CUACGGGACGCACCAGUGGGGAAUUUUGCGCAAUGGGCGAAAGCCUGACGCAGCAACGCCGCGUGAGGGAUGAAGGUUCUCGGAUCGUAAACCUCUUUCAGACGGGAAGAACACAAUGACGGUACCGUCAGAAGAAGCCCCGGCUAACUCCGUGCCAGCAGCCGCGGUAAUACGGAGGGGGCAAGCGUUGUUCGGAAUCAUUGGGCGUAAAGCGUAUGUAGGCGGCCAGAUAAGUCAGACGUGUAAGCCCACGGCUCAACCGUGGAAUUGCGUUUGAAACUGUCUGGCUUGAGUACGGGAGAGGAAAGCGGAAUUCCCAGUGUAGCGGUGAAAUGCAUUGAUAUUGGGAAGAACAUCGGUGGCGAAGGCGGCUUUCUGGCCCGAUACUGACGCUGAGAUACGAAAGCCAGGGGAGUAAACGGGAUUAGAUACCCCUGUAGUC
rnacentral:rRNA from 1 species